rnacentral:tRNA from 1 species
UGCUCGGUAGCUUAGUGGGUAAAGCACUUGUCUAGCAUACAAGAGUCCUAGGUUCGAAUCUCAGCUGAGCAC